rnacentral:pre_miRNA from 1 species
AGUAGGAUAGCUGGGUCAAUUGGUUGUUCCAUUCCAAGUUUUCUACGGAAUCUCCAUACUGCUUUCUAGAUUGGCUGCACCAGUUUGCAGUCCCACCAGCAAU